rnacentral:rRNA from 1 species
AGCGAACGCUGGCGGCAGGCUUAACACAUGCAAGUCGAACGGGCAUAGCAAUAUGUCAGUGGCAGACGGGUGAGUAACGCGUGGUAACGUACCUUUUGGUUCGGAACAACACAGGGAAACUUGUGCUAAUACCGGAUAAGCCCUUACGGGGAAAGAUUUAUCGCCGAAAGAUCGGCCCGCGUCUGAUUAGCUAGUUGGUAGGGUAAUGGCCUACCAAGGCGACGAUCAGUAGCUGGUCUGAGAGGAUGAUCAGCCACAUUGGGACUGAGACACGGCCCAAACUCCUACGGGAGGCAGCAGUGGGGAAUAUGGGACAAUGGGCGAAAGCCUGAUCCAGCCAGGCCGCGUGAGUGAUGAAGGCCCUAGGGUGGUAAAGCUCUUUUGGGCGGGAAGAUAAUGACGGGACCGAAAGAAUAAGCCCCGGCUAACUUCGU